rnacentral:tRNA from 1 species
UAUAUAAAAGUGUAUGAUGCACAUAAAUUUUUGAAGUUUAAAGAUUUAGUUAAAUUCUAGAUUAUAUAG